ACUUAUCACUUUCGCUUAGCCACUGAAAUUGCUUCCAACAGCUAGUAUCCAUCGUUUACGGCGUGGACUACCAGGGUAUCUAAUCCUGUUCGCUACCCACGCUUUCGUCCAUCAGCGUCAAUCCAUUAGUAGUAACCUGCCUUCGCAAUUGGUAUUCCAUGUAAUCUCUAAGCAUUUCACCGCUACACUACAUAUUCUAGUUACUUCCUAAUAAUUCAAGUUUAACAGUAUCAAUGGCCGUUCCACCGUUGAGCGAUGGGCUUUCACCACUGACUUAUUAAACCGCCUACGGACCCUUUAAACCCAAUGAUUCCGGAUAACGCUUGGAUCCUCCGUAUUACCGCGGCUGCUGGCACGGAGUUAGCCGAUCCUUAUUCUUACGAUACCGUCAAGCUCCUUCACGAAGGAGUGUUUCUUCUCGUAUAAAAGCAGUUUACAAUCCAUAGGACCGUCAUCCUGCACGCGGCAUGGCUGGAUCAGGCUUGCGCCCAUUGUCCAAUAUUCCUCACUGCUGCCUCCCGUAGGAGUCUGGUCCGUGUCUCAGUACCAGUGUGGGGGAUCUCCCUCUCAGGACCCCUACCCAUCGUAGCCUUGGUAAGCCGUUACCUUACCAACUAGCUAAUGGGACGCAUGCUCAUCUUUUACCGUUGUGACUUUAAUUAUAAAAUGAUGCCAUUUCAUAAUACUAUGAGGUAUUAAUCCAAAUUUCUCUGGGCUAUCCCUCUGUAAAAGGUAGAUUGCAUACGCGUUACGCACCCGUGCGCCGGUCUCAAGUUCCGAAGAACUCUACCCCUCGACUUGCAUGUGUUAAGCCUGCCGCUAGCGUUCAUCCU
rnacentral:rRNA from 1 species